rnacentral:misc_RNA from 1 species
AAAGUCGUAACAAGGUUUCUGUAGGUGAACCUGCAGAAGGAUCAUUCUUGUAUACCUGGUCGGGCGUAAGCCUGGCCAAACCAUGUGUGAAACUGUGUACGUCUUCCUGGUGGGUGCUUUGGUCGCUGGGCUUGCCCGGUAGCUAGGGUGCCUGCUGGGGUACCUCGCAAGAGGUUACUAUGUUAAUAGCAGGGAACUCAAAAGUAACAAUUACAACUUUUAACGAUGGAUCUCUUGGCUCUC